rnacentral:rRNA from 1 species
GCCAGCGGCCGUGUCGCCCUGCAGCUCCCAGCUGGCAGCCCCACUGCAGCUCAGCAGGUGGGAGCCUGGCCAAUACCUGGAGGGGAGACCUCCUGGGAAAGCACAGGUUGCUGCUGGAA